rnacentral:rRNA from 1 species
UACGGAGGGGGGCUAGCGUUGUUCGGAAUUACUGGGCGUAAAAGCGCACGUAGGCUGCCCCAGCAAGUCGGAUGUGAAAGCCCUGGGCUUAACCUAGGAAGUGCAUUCGAAACUGCUGGGCUUGAGUUCUGGAGAGGAAGGCGGAAUUCUCGGUGUAGAGGUGAAAUUCGUAGAUAUCGAGAGGAACACCGGUGGCGAAGGCGGCCUUCUGGACAGUGACUGACGCUGAGACGCGAAAGCGUGGGGAGCAAACAGG